GUUCGCGGAGUCGGUGGCCCUGCUCCCGGUAUGAUGCAACCACAGAUCUCGCGUCCUCCGAUCCCGCAGCUCUCUGCCCCGCCUAUGACUUAUCCGCCUUCUGCAGCCGGCGGGCCGCCGGUUCUUCGACCACCUGGUCAGAUUCCUCCUCCUGCAUAUCCUGGACAAGGUCCACCUCCGAUGGUUCGGGGUCCACCCCCUCAGGUUCCACCUCCAUCAUUUGGUGUCAGGCCACCGCAACAGUUCCCUGUGCCUCCACCGCAGUUCGGGCAGAGGCCGAUGGUUCCGCCGCCUGCUCCAAUGAUGAGGGG
rnacentral:lncRNA from 1 species